rnacentral:rRNA from 1 species
GAGUUUGAUCGUGGCUCAGGAUGAACGCUGGCGGCGUGCCUAAUACAUGCAAGUCGAGCGAACAGACGAGGAGCUUGCUCCUCUGACGUUAGCGGCGGACGGGUGAGUAACACGUGGAUAACCUACCUAUAAGACUGGGAUAACUUCGGGAAACCGGAGCUAAUACCGAAUAAUAUAUUGAACCGCAUGGUUCAAUAGUGAAAAACGGUUUUGCUGUCACUUAUAGAUGGAUCCGCGCCGCAUUAGCUAGUUGGUAGGGUAACGGCUUACCAAGGCGACGAUGCGUAGCCGACCUGAGAGGGUGAUCGGCCACACUGGAACUGAGACACGGUCCAGACUCCUACGGGAGGCAGCAGUAGGGAAUCUUCCGCAAUGGGCGAAAGCCUGACGGAGCAACGCCGCGUGAGUGAUGAAGGUCUUCGGAUCGUAAAACUCCGUUAUUAGGGAAGAACAAAUGUGUAAGUAACUAUGCACGUCUUGACGGUACCUAAUCAGAAAGCCACGGCUAACUACGUGCCAGCAGCC